GGGUGUAUAGCUCAGUGGUAGAGUGCAUGCUUAGCAUGCAUGAGGUCCUGAGUUCAAUGCCAAGUACCUCCU
rnacentral:tRNA from 1 species